GACGAACGCUGGCGGCGUGCUUAACACAUGCAAGUCGAACGAUGAAGCCUAGCUUGCUAGGUGGAUUAGUGGCGAACGGGUGAGUAAUACGUGAGUGACCUACCUUUGACUCUGGGAUAAGCCUGGGAAACUGGGUCUAAUACCGGAUACGACCAAUCUCUGCAUGGGGUGUUGGCGGAAAGCGUUAUGGAGUGGUUUUAGAUGGGCUCACGGCCUAUCAGCUUGUUGGUGAGGUAAUGGCUUACCAAGGCGACGACGGGUAGCCGGCCUGAGAGGGUGACCGGCCACACUGGGACUGAGACACGGCCCAGACUCCUACGGGAGGCAGCAGUGGGGAAUAUUGCACAAUGGGCGCAAGCCUGAUGCAGCGACGCCGCGUGAGGGAUGACGGCCUUCGGGUUGUAAACCUCUGUUAGCAUCGAAGAAGCGAAAGUGACGGUAGGUGCAGAGAAAGCGCCGGCUAACUACGUGCCAGCAGCCGCGGUAAUACGUAGGGCGCGAGCGUUGUCCGGAAUUAUUGGGCGUAAAGAGCUUGUAGGCGGUUGGUCGCGUCUGCUGUGAAGGCCGGGGCUUAACUCCGGUUUUGCAGUGGGUACGGGCUAACUAGAGUGCAGUAGGGGAGACUGGAAUUCCUGGUGUAGCGGUGGAAUGCACAGAUAUCAGGAGGAACACCGGUGGCGAAGGCAGGUCUCUGGGCUGUAACUGACGCUGAGAAGCGAAAGCAUGGGGAGCGAACAGGAUUAGAUACCCUGGUAGUCCAUGCCGUAAACGUUGGGCACUAGGUGUGGGGGACAUUCCACGUUUUCCGCGCCGUAGCUAACGCAUUAAGUGCCCCGCCUGGGGAGUACGGCCGCAAGGCUAAAACUCAAAGGAAUUGACGGGGGCCCGCACAAGCGGCGGGGCAUGCGGAUUAAUUCGAUGCAACGCGAAGAACCUUACCAAGGCUUGACAUGCAUUAGAUCGCGUCAGAGAUGGCGUUUCCCUUCGGGGCUGGUGUACAGGUGGUGCAUGGUUGUCGUCAGCUCGUGUCGUGAGAUGUUGGGUUAAGUCCCGCAACGAGCGCAACCCUCGUUCUAUGUUGCCAGCGGUUCGGCCGGGGACUCAUAGGAGACUGCCGGGGUUAACUCGGAGGAAGGUGGGGAUGACGUCAAAUCAUCAUGCCCCUUAUGUCUUGGGCUUCACGCAUGCUACAAUGGCCGGUACAGAGGGUUGCGAUACUGUGAGGUGGAGCUAAUCCCUUAAAGCCGGUCUCAGUUCGGAUUGGGGUCUGCAACUCGACCCCAUGAAGUCGGAGUCGCUAGUAAUCGCAGAUCAGCAACGCUGCGGUGAAUACGUUCCCGGGCCU
rnacentral:rRNA from 1 species